UGGGGAAUAUUGCACAAUGGGCGCAAGCCUGAUGCAGCCAUGCCGCGUGUAUGAAGAAGGCCUUCGGGUUGUAAAGUACUUUCAGCGGGGAGGAAGGGAGUAAAGUUAAUACCUUUGCUCAUUGACGUUACCAGCAGAAGAAGCACCGGCUAACUCCGUGCCAGCAGCCGCGGUAAUACGGAGGGUGCAAGCGUUAAUCGGAAUUACUGGGCGUAAAGCGCACGCAGGCGGUUUGUUAAGUCAGAUGUGAAAUCCCCGGGCUCAACCUGGGAACUGCAUCUGAUACUGGCAAGCUUGAGUCUCGUAGAGGGGGGUAGAAUUCCAGGUGUAGCGGUGAAAUGCGUAGAGAUCUGGAGGAAUACCGGUGGCGAAGGCGGCCCCCUGGACGAAGACUGACGCUCAGGUGCGAAAGCGUGGGGAGCAAACAGG
rnacentral:rRNA from 2 species